AGUGAACGCUGGCGGUAGGCCUAACACAUGCAAGUCGAACGGCAGUACAUUAAGAGCUUGCUCUUACGGUUGGCGAUUGGCGGACGGGUGAGGAAUGCAUCGGAAUCUCCUUUUUCGUGUGGGCUAACGUAGGGAAACUUACUCUAAUACCGCAUCUGACCUACCGUUGAAAUCAGUGGCUCUUCGUACCUUGCUCGAUUGAAUGAGCCGAUGUCGUAUUAGCUAGUUGGCGGGGUAAAGGCCCACCAAGGCGACGAUGCGUAGCUGGUCUGAGAGGAUGAUCAGCCACACUGGAACUGAGACACGGUCCAGACUCCUACGGGAGGCAGCAGUGGGGAAUAUUGGACAAUGGGCGAAAGCCUGAUCCAGCAAUACCGCGUGGGUGAAGAAGGCCUUCGGGUUGUAAAGCCCUUUUGUUGGGAAAGAAAAGCAGCAGGUUAAUACGCCGAUGUUCUGACGGUACCCAAAGAAUAAGCACCGGCUAACUUCGUG
rnacentral:rRNA from 1 species